AUUAAUAAGCGGAGGAAAAGAAACUAACAAGGAUUCCCUCAGUAACGGCGAGUGAAGCGGGAAGAGCUCAAAUUUGAAAUCUCCGAUGCUUGCAUCGGCGAGUUGUAAUUGCGAGAAGCACUUUCUAGGCGGAUCGGUGGUGCCUAAGUUGCUUGGAACAGCACGUCGCAGAGGGUGACAACCCCGUCUGUGGCGCGACCGGCCGCUGACGAUGUGCUUUCGAAGAGUCGGGUUGUUUGGGAAUGCAGCCCAAAAUGGGUGGUAAACUCCAUCUAAAGCUAAAUACUGGCGUGAGACCGAUAGCGAACAAGUACCGUGAGGGAAAGAUGAAAAGAACUUUGAAAAGAGAGUUAAAAAGUACGUGAAACCGUUGAAAGGGAAACGAAUGGACUCAGCAAUGCGCCGUUUGAGAUUCAGCCGGUGGGCUGCCUCGGCGCCGGGUUUGCGGAUCUGAAUGGACCGCGGCCCGGCGCUCGUGGUCUCCCGCCGUCGCACUUCUCUUGGGCGCGCGUCAACGUCGGUUGGGACUGGGUCUGAAAGGUGCCGGGAAGGUAGGUGUGGGCCUUCGGGUCCGUUCUGUUACAGCCCGGCUCUCUCCUGGCUCGGGCCCGACCGAGGCGGUUGCAGGGCAUGCCUCCUGUGGCUAGGGUCCCGUCCUUCCGGCCGGCUGUCGACUGCGGUGGACUGCUUGCAGUGCUCGGCGAACGCUGCCGGUCGUUGGGGUGGUGAUCUCGUACCAUGCCCUUAGGAUGUUGGCGGUCAUAUGG
rnacentral:rRNA from 1 species